rnacentral:rRNA from 1 species
CAGCCGCCACGGUAAUACGAAGGUCCCGAGCGUUGUUCGGAAUCACUGGGCGUAAAGGGAGCGUAGGCGGCGUGGUAAGUCAGAUGUGAAAUCCCGGGGCUCAACCCCGGAACUGCAUCCGAUACUGCCAUGCUAGAGGAUUGGAGAGGUAGCUGGAAUUCUUGGUGUAGCAGUGAAAUGCGUGGAGAUCAAGAGGAACACUCGUGGCGAAAGCGAGCUACUGGACAAUAACUGACGCUGAGGCUCGAAGGCCAGGGUAGCGAAAGGGAUUAGAGCCCGGUAGUCCCUGUCUCUUAUACAC